AUUGAACGCUGGCGGCAGGCUUAACACAUGCAAGUCGAGCGGGGUGAUGGUGCUUGCACUAUCACUUAGCGGCGGACGGGUGAGUAAUGCUUAGGAAUCUGCCUAUUAGUGGGGGACAACAUUUCGAAAGGAAUGCUAAUACCGCAUACGUCCUACGGGAGAAAGCAGGGGAUCUUCGGACCUUGCGCUAAUAGAUGAGCCUAAGUCGGAUUAGCUAGUUGGUGGGGUAAAGGCCUACCAAGGCGACGAUCUGUAGCGGGUCUGAGAGGAUGAUCCGCCACACUGGGACUGAGAACCGGCCCAGACUCCUACGGGAUGCAGCAGUGGGGAAUAUUGGACAAUGGGCGGAAGCCCGAUCCAGCCAUGCCGCGUGUGUGAAGAAGGCCUUAUGGUUGUAAAGCACUUUAAGCGAGGAGGAGGCUACUUUAGUUAAUACCUAGAGAUAGUGGACGUUACUCGCAGAAUAAGCACCGGCUAACUCUGUGCCAGCAGCCGCAGUAACAC
rnacentral:rRNA from 1 species